CAGAAAAUAGUUUAUUAAAAUUUUAAUUUUGGAGAUUAAAGAUAGAAGAUUAUUUCUUUUUCUGA
rnacentral:tRNA from 1 species